rnacentral:siRNA from 1 species
CACGUGGGUGAUAUCUAGCGG